CAAUAGCGUAUAUUAAAGUUGUUGCAGUUAAAAAGCUCGUAGUUGGAUUUCUGGUGGGAGCGAUCGGUCUGGCGCUUAGCGCGAGUACUUGCAUCGUCUCCGGCCAUCCUUGGGGAGAGUUUGUCUGGCAUUAAGUUGUCGGGCAGAGGAUCCUCAUCGUUUACUGUGAAAAAUUAGAGUGUUCAAAGCAGGCUUAUGCCGUUGAAUAUAUUAGCAUGGAAUAAUAAGAUAGGACUUUGGUACUAUUUUGUUGGUUUCUAGAGCUGAGGUAAUGAUUAAUAGGGAUAGUUGGGGGCAUUCGUAUUUAACUGUCAGAAGUGAAAUUCUUGGAUUUGUUAAAGACGGACUACUGCGAAAGCAUUUGCCAAGGAUGUUUUCAUUGAUCAAGAACGAAAGUUAGGGGAUCGAAGACGAUCAGAUACCGU
rnacentral:rRNA from 1 species